GGCGAGUCUGACGGAGCACGCCGCGUGAGUGAUGAAGGUUUUCGGAUCGUAAAGCUCUGUUGUUAGGGAAGAACAAGUGCGAGAGUAACUGCUCGCACCUUGACGGUACCUAACCAGAAAGCCACGGCUAACUACGUGCCAGCAGCCGCGGUAAUACGUAGGUGGCAAGCGUUGUCCGGAAUUAUUGGGCGUAAAGGGCUCGCAGGCGGUUUCUUAAGUCUGAUGUGAAAGCCCCCGGCUCAACCGGGGAGGGUCAUUGGAAACUGGGAAACUUGAGUGCAGAAGAGGAGAGUGGAAUUCCACGUGUAGCGGUGAAAUGCGUAGAGAUGUGGAGGAACACCAGUGGCGAAGGCGACUCUCUGGUCUGUAACUGACGCUGAUGAGCGAAAGCGUGGGGAGCGAACAGGAUUAGAUACCCUGGUAGUCCACGCCGUAAACGAUGAGUGCUAAGUGUUAGGGGGUUUCCGCCCCUUAGUGCUGCAGCUAACGCAUUAAGCACUCCGCCUGGGGAGUACGGUCGCAAGACUGAAACUCAAAGGAAUUGACGGCGGGCGGGGGCGGCGGGACGGGCGCGGGGCGGGGGCGGGGCAAA
rnacentral:rRNA from 1 species